rnacentral:tRNA from 1 species
GCGCGGGUGGCGGAAUUGGUAGACGCGCUACUUUGAGGUGGUAGUGAGGCAACUCGUGGAGGUUCAAGUCCUCUCUCGCGCACCA